rnacentral:rRNA from 1 species
UUGUAAUUUGUAGAAGGUGCUUCGGGGGCGACGACGGUGCAAGUUCCUUGGAAUAGGGCUUCAGAGAGGGUGAGAAUCCCGUACGGCCGGCCGUCAAUCCCAUGUGAAGCCCUUUCGACGAGUCGAGUUGUUUGGGAAUGCAGCUCUAAGUGGGUGGUAAAUUUCAUCUAAAGCUAAAUAUCUGUCGGAGACCGAUAGCGAACAAGUAGAGUGAUCGAAAAAUGAAAAGCACUUUGAAAAGAGAGUGAAACAGUACGUGAAAUUGUUGAAAGGGAAGCGCUUGCAACCAGACUUGUUCGCGGGGGCUCAACCUUCCCACGGGGUGGUGCACUCCCCCGCGAUCGGGCCAGCAUCGGUUUUGGCGGUCGGACAAAGAUUCCGGGAACGUAGCUCCCUCCGGGGAGUGUUAUAGCCCGGGGUGCAAUGCGGCCUGCCGGGACCGAGGACCGCGCUUCUGCAAGGAUGCUGGCGUAAUGGUUGCCAGCGACCCGUCUUGAAACACGGACCAAGGAGUCGACCAACCGCGCGAGUGUUUGGGCGUAAAACCCAGGCGCGCAAUGAAAGUGAACGGAGGUGGGAGCCCUCGGGCGCACCAUCGACCGAUCCUGAUGUCUUCGGAUGGAUUUGAGUAAGAGCACUGUUGGUCGGACCCGAAAGAUGGUGAACUAUGCGUGAAUAGGGUGAAGCCAGAGGAAACUCUGGUGGAGGCUCGCAGCGGUUCUGACGUGCAAAUCGAUCGUCAAAUUUGCGUAUAGGGGCGAAAGGUACGCUAACUCUUUUUACUCAACAUUUUAUCCUUUUACACGCCCCCAACUGGUCGGUUUGGCUUUGCUAACUUCAACCAGACCAAUCGAAUCAUCUAGGUAAAUAACCAUCUUACUAUCCCCCCGGUUGGCCGAUUCUAACAAUUUCUACAGUAGCUGGUUCCUGUCGAAGUUUCCCUCAGGAUAGCAGUAACGAAUAAACAGUCUCAUGAGGUAGAGCGAACGAUUAGAGGCCUGGGGGUUGAAACAACCUUCACCUAUUCUCGAACUUCGAAUAUGUGAGAAGUCCUUGUUUCUUAGUUGAA